rnacentral:rRNA from 1 species
AUGGGGCUGUUGUGCAGCCAUAUCCUGAAGGUUCUCAACUUCAUUCGUGUUACGGAGAUCCCAAAUAAGCACAUUGUGAAAAGGUGGACAAGGGAUGCAAGAGAUAUACUUCCAGCGCACCUGAUGCAGUACCAGAGAGACAAUGCUCAAGAAAACCCGUUUAGUUUCCGGCAUUUCAACAUGUAUAUGCAAGCCAUGGAGCUUGUUCGGAUGGGAGACUCAAGUGUGGCAGCUUAUGAGCACUUGAUCUCGCUAUUCAAACACUGUGCAAAAGAGAUGAAGCCAUUUACAGACGUCCGAGAUGGCCUUGGUUUGGAAGACAGGUUAGCAUGUAGUACUAGGAUUGAUAACAGGAUGCAAUCAAGAGGCGAUGUAUGCGAAGCAGUAGAUGGUACAGAGGUUAACAACAGCAAUGAUGACAGCGAUUAA